rnacentral:rRNA from 1 species
CGAACGGGUGAGUAACACGUGGGCAACCUGCCCCAGACUGGGGGAUAACAUUGUGAAAACAGUGCUAAUACCGCAUGACAGGGUUCCGGGCAUCCGGGACUCUUGAAAGGAGAAAAUCCCGGUCAGGGGAUGGGCCCGCGUCCAAUUAGGCUAGUUGGUGGGGUAACGGCCCACCAAGGCGACGAUUGGUAGCCGAACUGAGAGGUUGAUCGGCCACAUUGGGACUGAGACACGGCCCAGACUCCUACGGGAGGCAGCAGUGGGGAAUAUUGGGCAAUGGGCGAAAGCCUGACCCAGCGACGCCGCGUGAAGGAUGAAGGUCUUCGGAUUGUAAACUUCUUUGAUCAGGGAAGAAAGAAAUGACGGUACCUGAAAACAAGCCACGGCUAACUACGUGCCAGCCGCCGC